rnacentral:misc_RNA from 1 species
UUUGGGCUUCGGUCUGAACUAGUAGCUUUUUUAAACCCAUUCUUUAUAACUGAUUAUACUGUAGGGACGAAAGUCUCUGCUUUUAACUAGAUAGCAACUUUCAGCAGUGGAUGUCUAGGCUCGCACAUCGAUGAAGAACGCUGCGAACUGCGAUACGUAAUGCGAAUUGCAGGAUUCAGUGAGUCAUCGAAAUUUUGAACGCAUAUUGCACUUCCGGGUUAGUCCUGGGAGUAUGCCUGUAUCAGUGUCCGUACAUCAAACUUGGUUUUCUUCCUUCCGUGUAGUCGGUGGUGGAUGUGCCAGAUGUGAAGUGUCUUGCGGCUGGUCUUCGGAUCGGCUGUGAGUCCUUUGAAAUGUACUGAACUGUACUUCUCUUUGCUCCAAAAGCGUGGCGUUGCUGAUUGUGGAGGCUGCUUGCGUAGCCAGUCUGGCGACCAGUUUGUCUGCUGUGGCAUUAAUGGAGGAGUGUUCGAUUCGCGGUAUGGUUGGCUUCGGCUGAACAGACGCUUAUUAAAUAUUUCUUCAGCUGUGGUGGUAUGAGUUGGUGAACCGUAGCUAUGUGAGCUUGGCUUUUGAAUUGGCUUUGCUGUUGCGAAGUAGAGUGGCGGCUUCGGCUGUC